GAUGAAGAACGUAGCGAAAUGCGAUACGUAAUGUGAAUUGCAGAAUUCAGUGAAUCAUCGAGUCUUUGAACGCACAUUGCGCCCUCUGGUAUUCCGGAGGGCAUGCCUGUCCGAGCGUCAUUGCUGCCCUCAAGCACGGCUUGUGUGUUGGGCUCCGUCCCCCGAUCCCGGGGGACGGGCCCGAAAGGCAGCGGCGGCACCGCGUCCGGUCCUCGAGCGUAUGGGGCUUUGUCACGCGCUCUGUAGGCCCGGCCGGCGCUUGCCGAUCAACCAAAUUUUUAUCCAGGUUGACCUCGGAUCAGGUAGGGAUACCCGCUGAACUUAAGCAUAUCAAUAAGCGGAGGA
rnacentral:misc_RNA from 1 species